rnacentral:rRNA from 1 species
CCUACGGGAGGCAGCAGUGGGGAAUAUUGCGCAAUGGGCGAAAGCCUGACGCAGCGACGCCGCGUGAGGGAUGAAGGUCUUCGGAUCGUAAACCUCUGUCAGCAGGGAAGAACGGUCACUGUGCUAAUCAGCAGUGAAUUGACGGUACCUGCACAGGCAGCACCGGCUAACUCCGUGCCAGCAGCCGCGGUAAUACGGAGGGUGCGAGCGUUAAUCGGAAUUACUGGGCGUAAAGCGCUCGUAGGCGGUAUGUCAAGUCAAGGGUGAAAUCCCCGGGCUCAACGCGGGAACUGCCUUUGAAACUAGCAAACUGGAGUGUGAGAGAGGUGAGCGGAAUUCCAGGUGUAGGAGUGAAAUGCGUAGAUAUAUGGAGGAACACCAGAGGCGAAGGCGACUAACUGGGACAUAACUGACGCUGAGGAGCGAAAGCGUGGGUAGCAAACAGGAUUAGAUACCCGAGUAGUC